ACUGGGCCCCGUGAGUGCUGGCAGGGCUGUGAAGCAGGUGUGAUUCAUGGGUCAGCUCCCCGCUGGGACUGUGACCCUGAAGCUAACAAACCUAAGGGCAAGGCUGGGCCCAGCAGCUUUCUGAGUCUCUUCUGAAGUGGCUUUGAAGUCGAUACUGUGUGUCUAUGUAAGAUCUAGCCUGAAGAAAGGUGCUUUGUUCAGUUGCUGACUUAUUUUAUUGGUGGAACCCUCAUGCUCUUUUGUGGAAUGGAAGCUGCCCUGAUUCGUGAAUCGCAAAUAAAAGCCAGUUAGAUCUAUAAGUAUAUUUGUUGGAAUUUUGUCUUUUGACAAGACCAACUGGACCUUCCCUUUCUUGGUUAAAAUCUGUGAGACUCUUCUUCCUUGGUCACACUGGACAAUUGGCUUGUUAGAGGUGCAGUCAGGGGAACCCGGGAGAGACUCGCCCUGCAAAGAAGACAAAGGCCACGGCGCCGAUGGUGGUGGUGCAGGUAUCCUGAGAUGGCCAGAGCUCAAAGAAGUUCAUAUCAAGGGGACACACAAAGAAGGCAGCCGCCUGCAAGCCAGGAAGAGAGCCCUCACCAGGGACCAAAAUGGCCAGUGCCUUGAUUUCGGACAUCUGCCUCCAGGAG